rnacentral:lncRNA from 1 species
UUUUUUUCCAAUGAUCAUCUAUAAAUUAAAGUUUUUACCUAAUAUUACAUAGAUACCACUACUAACUAUCAUUGAUGUAAAACAAAACACUCUUUUGCCAAUUCAAAUUGCAACCACACUGUGAUCAUUGCUUAUCACCAACCUGCUUCGCAACUAAUUUGAUAAUUUGUCAAACUACAGUCUUUUGAGGCUGAUUGUAAUGCAUAUAAUUUUGACCUCGCGCGACUUGCAUUCUAUUGCUCAAAACACCCCGCCAUCUUAAUUUCCACUGUCUUCAAGACCUUUGCAUUCUUUAGAAUAUACUGUAAGCUCCAACUUGUUUUUGGAGCCACCAUAUUCUCUGAAUUUAAACAUAGUAAGGUGCGAGCUAAGACAGUUAUGAACUGGUGUUAUUGGCUUUGUCCACUUUCUUUCACUUAGCCCACCACAGGUCAAAUAAAUCUGUUCACUUUUUUCUAAAAAAAAAAUCAAAUAGGAGAGAGAGAGAGAGAGAACAAAGAGAGUAAAUACCAAGAAAACAUGAAAAC